rnacentral:rRNA from 1 species
UGGGGAAUAUUGGACAAUGGGCGAAAGCCUGAUCCAGCCAUGCCGCGUGUGUGAAGAAGGUCUUCGGAUUGUAAAGCACUUUAAGUUGGGAGGAAGGGCAUUAACCUAAUACGUUAGUGUUUUGACGUUACCGACAGAAUAAGCACCGGCUAACUCUGUGCCAGCAGCCGCGGUAAUACAGAGGGUGCAAGCGUUAAUCGGAAUUACUGGGCGUAAAGCGCGCGUAGGUUGUUUGGUAAGGUGGAUGUGAAAUCCCCGGGCUCAACCUGGGAACUGCAUUCAAAACUGACUGACUAGAGUAUGGUAGAGGGUGGUGGAAUUUCCUGUGUAGCGGUGAAAUGCGUAGAUAUAGGAAGGAACACCAGUGGCGAAGGCGACCACCUGGACUAAUACUGACACUGAGGUGCGAAAGCGUGGGGAGCAAACA